UAUAAAUAUUUUUAAUUUAUUUUUUAGUUAUUUAUAUUUUAAUAAAAUCAAUUUAAUUUUUAGUAAUGUUUAAUGAAAAUAUAAAUUUAUUUAUAGCUUAAGGUACUGUAAAGGAUUUAUUAUAUAUAUUUAUUUAAGGAAAUAUUAUGAUUGUACCUUUUGUAUCAGGGUUUAUCUAUAAAAAUUAUUUAGUUAUAUUUAUCCCGAAAUUAUAAGAGAUAUAUAAUUAGUUUAAUUUAAUAUAAUAAAAUUAUUAAUAACUUUUAUAUAGGAGUUAUAUGCUAUUCAUUUAUAAAUAUCUGGUUUUUUGAGAAUUGAAUUUAAUUCAGCUAUAAUUUAUUCAUAUAUAUAUAAUUCAUUAAAAUAUAAUUUUUAUAGUCAUAUUUAGGGGGAUAAUCUCCUAUUUAUUAUUUAUAGAUUUCAUUAUUAUUAAAUUAAGUAGGAAUAGAAAUUUCUUUCAUUUAUUUUGUUAUAAUUAUAUUUAUCCCUAUUCAUUAAUUUAUUUUAAUAUCUUAAUUAUUUAUCAGAAUAGUUUAAUAAAUUUUUAAUUAAAGGAAUAAAUGAUAAAAUUAGUAUAAUUAUAAUUAUAUAUAUAGUAACUUGGCAACUAAAGUGUUCACCUGUUUAACAAAAACAUGUCCUAUUGAUAUUUUAUAUUAGGUCAGGCCUGCUCGGUGAUUUAUUUAACAGCUGCAGUAAUUUGACUGUGCAAAGGUAGCAUAAUCAUUUGUCUUUUAAUUGGAGGCUGGUAUGAACGGUUUAAUGAAAUACUAACUUUCUUUAUAUAUUAUUUUAGAAAUUAAUUUUUGUGUUAAAAAGCAUAAAUGUUAUUAUAGGACGAGAAGACCCUAUAGAAUUUCAAUAUUAUUAAUAUUUUAUUUAUAUGGUUAAUUAAUAAUUAUAUUUUGUAAAUAAUAUUUUUGUUGGGGUGAUAGGGGAAUAUAUAUAACUUCCUUUUUUCAUUAUUUAUUCAUUUAUAUAUUAUAGAUCCUAAUUAUAGAUUAUAAGAUUAAAUUACCUUAGGGAUAACAGCGUAAUUUUAUUGGAGAGUUCUAAUCGAUAAUAGAGUUUGCGACCUCGAUGUUGGAUUAAAAUUUGAUUUUAGUGCAGAAGCUAAUUUUUCUAGGUCUGUUCGACCUUUAAAAUUUUACAUGAUCUGAGUUCAGACCGGCGUAAGCCAGGUUGGUUUCUAUCCUUAAAAUUGAAAUUAUAUUUUAGUACGAAAGGACCAAUUAUAAUAAAAAUUUUAUUAUUU
rnacentral:rRNA from 1 species